rnacentral:rRNA from 1 species
GUGGGGAAUAUUGGACAAUGGGCGAAAGCCUGAUCCAGCCAUGCCGCGUGUGUGAAGAAGGUCUUCGGAUUGUAAAGCACUUUAAGUUGGGAGGAAGGGCAGUAAGUUAAUACCUUGCUGUUUUGACGUUACCGACAGAAUAAGCACCGGCUAACUUCGUACCAGCAGCCGCGGUAAUACGAAGGGUGCAAGCGUUAAUCGGAAUUACUGGGCGUAAAGCGCGCGUAGGUGGUUUUGUAAGUUGGAGGUGAAAUCCCCGGGCUCAACCUGGGAACUGCCUCCAAAACUGCAUGACUAGAGUACGGUAGAGGGUAGUGUAAUUUCCUGUGUAGCGGUGAAAUGCGUAGAUAUAGGAAGGAACACCAGUGGCGAAGGCGACUACCUGGACUGAUACUGACACUGAGGUGCGAAAGCGUGGGGAGCAAACAGGAUUAGAUACCCCAGUAGUCC